rnacentral:misc_RNA from 1 species
GAAGAAAGCAAAUAUUUUUGGGACUUGGUCUUGUUAUGGUGAUGGGUUUAGCUGUUUACUUAAGGCUUUGGACCAUUGACUACAAUUUCUCAUCUAAUGAAACUGAAUUACUCAGGAGACAGUUCGAUCUUGCCAGUAGAGAAGCAAUGGACGAAUCUGCAGUGUGGAGAAAAAGAUAUGAUGACGAGGAAAAGAUAUCUUCCGCCUGCCAAAAGGAACUGAUUAAGAUUAAGCAGUUGUUGAAGGAGGAUGGUGCUGCUGGCAUUAAGAAGAAAAUGGAC